CCUACGGGUGGCUGCAGUGGGGAAUAUUGGACAAUGGGGGGAACCCUGAUCCAGCGACGCCGCGUGAGUGAAGAAGUAUUUCGGUAUGUAAAGCUCUAUCUGCAGGGAAGAAAGAAAUGACGGUACCUGACUAAGACGCCCCGGCUAACUACGUGCCAGCAGCCGCGGUAAUACGUAGGGGGCAAGCGUUAUUCGGAUUUACUGGGUGUAAAGGGAGCGUAGACGGCGAUGCAAGUAUGAAGGGAAAGGCGGGGGCCCAACCCCUGGACUGCUUUGGAAACUGGAGGGCUGGAGUGCAGGAGAGGUAAGUGGAAUUCGUAGUGUAGCGGUGAAAUGCGUAGAUAUUAGGAGGAACACCAGUGGCGAAGGCAGCUUGCUGGACUGUAACUGACGUUGAGGCUCGAAAGCGUGGGGAGCAAACAGGAUUAGAUACCCUAGUAGUC
rnacentral:rRNA from 1 species